AAAUAAGAAGUAAAAAUUACAUUUAGUUUCGACCUAAAAAUUGAUAUAUAUAUAUCCUUAUUUA
rnacentral:tRNA from 1 species